CUUCUUGUUUUUGCAUUUGCUGAAGGCUGCUUCCUGACAGCCAGCCAUCCAAGUUGUGUUGAAGAACUUUAAGGUCAAGUCUGUUGUUUAUUUUUAAUAGAUGAUGAUUUCACUACUAAACUCACUAGAGAAACACAAUAACGCACUGAAGCUAUUCCGUGCUGUGUGGUUAAAUUAUGCUUAUUUAUGACUUAUUAUAAGGUCUUCAGUCCUGCUCUUCAUGCUAUUUAUUAAUAACUUAAAAUAUAUACUGCUCUUACAUAAUCAUCUCUUGGACGAGCAUGUUGCCGGUCACUACAAUUAAACAAGCAUCUCUAUUCUUUUUCUCCACCCACUAGCAAACCUUCUCAUGUACUAAAAUAAUCUAGCCCUGCAAGCAGCAUGUGGCAACCUAAUUAUCUUAAAAAAUAUUCAGAAUCGAUUCUGUGAAAGUCACAAAGUCUAAAUCGAGCAUCACAAGCUAACGACAAGCGUCCCAUGUGAGCAACUCUCAAUCACAACCUUGUGGCUCAGUCUCUGUUUCACAGUUGAAUCCUCAUGGAUCACUUGUUAUGAGGUCAGUUUGCUGUAUCUUAUUAUCACACAUGUAGAUUAUGCUAAUAAAGCUUCACAGACUAACACUUUAGUCCUGUAGCUCAUUCCCAUUCAUUUUUCUUUUCUUGUUUCUCUGCAUCGACGGUGUUGUUCACUCAACAUUGUCUCGGCUCAAGACUCUGCCUUAAACGAUUCCUUAUUAGUGGUCUAAAAAUAGUCUCUUGGUUUCAGGGUCUGCGCUGCCUGUAAUGUGACAACCACAGAGGGAGCAUCAUGACCGGCCAGCUGCAAGAGUCUCCAUGAAACACAUCCAGACCACGGGUCUGUGAACCUGUAGGACACAAAGGACACAAAAAUGUGUGAAAAUGGAACAAAGUGACCAGUGUUGACGUGGGACAACAUUUAUUUUAAAAGUCCACUGUCAAAACCUCUCGGUGAAACUCUGAGUCUAAGCAGCUCAUGGGACCCAACAUUCAAUAACUGGAAUUCUAAUGCAGUGGAAGGUAGGGCUGCGGGAUAACAAUCUGCACCGGGGACCUCAGGAAGCACUGGCUUCAACACGUACACCAAUUACAGUGAGCACAGCUUUUCCAAACACUGCUGAGCACCAUGCAUCCUCUGAGAAAACAUCUGCUUUUGUUCACACACCCCAAAUCUACAUGCACAUGUCUAAUUCUGGUGCCCACAAACCCUGUAAAUACAUUUCAUAUGUCAUUAAAUAAAAAUAAAAUAAUUCCCUUUUUCCCUUUUUAACAAAACUACUCCCAACUAUCAAAUGGACAAUUCUAAUAAGCAGCAAGUGGGGAGUCAGUUCUGUGUGUUAGAAGCAGGAAAAUGUGUAACAUGAUAAUCAGUAUCAGGGUCAAAGGUCAUGGGUUCACUUACCUGUACUUGCCGGCUCCAACUCCGCAGAAGAACCACUGCGUCGGGUAUGUUUGUUUAUUUACUUUGAGGAAAACAACAACAGAAUUAAAAAUGAAUCAAAUGUAAAAUCCCACUGUUUACGACCCGGUGUUCCGGUCGGGAUCAGCUACAGCUUCUCGCCAACUAAAACCAUGUAGGCUGUCAAAAACAGCCUCUGCAUCCGUGACCGGGCUGACGCUACUGUAUGUGGGUCAACACACUCACAACACAGCUGUACAGGAGGGACACAUGCAUGUAGACACCGAGCACACCCGCGUCAGCCAUGAGAGGCUGA